GUUUGAUCCUGGCUCAGAUUGUACGCUGGCGGCAGGCCUAACACAUGCAAGUCGAGCGGGGUUUUCGGACCUAGCGGCGGACGGGUGAGUAAUGCGUAGGAAGCUACCCGAUAGAGGGGGAUACCAGUUGGAAACGACUGUUAAUACCGCAUAAUGUCUACGGACCAAAGUGUGGGACCUUCGGGCCACAUGCUAUCGGAUGCGCCUACGUGGGAUUAGCUAGUUGGUGAGGUAAUGGCUCACCAAGGCGACGAUCUCUAGCUGGUUUGAGAGGAUGAUCAGCCACACUGGAACUGAGACACGGUCCAGACUCCUACGGGAGGCAGCAGUGGGGAAUAUUGGACAAUUGGCGCAAGCCUGAUCCAGCCAUGCCGCGUGUGUGAAGAAGGCCUUCGGGUUGUAAAGCACUUUCAGUCGAGGUAGGAAGGGUGGGAGUUUAUGCAUUCAAUUU
rnacentral:rRNA from 1 species